UGCCAAACAUACUGCUUUCUCGUUUGUUCAGUGAUCCGAAACGCAGUCGCAAGUUUACUGACGAAUUGCAGAGGGAAUCCGUUUCCAAAGAAGCAUGUGUUAAGAGCAUUGUACUAGAGCAUCAGGUGUUACUGUACGAGUCUUAAGUGAAUUAACAGUGUACUAGGAAUUAUCCAGUGUUUCCUCUGUUUGCUGUUCCUUACAGAAACGGCAUUCAGAAUACUGCCAAUAACAUUUGAACAAAUAGCGUGUUUAUAGAUUGAACCCAAAUUCAGUUAGCACAAAGUUUCCAAAGUUAUGUCUUCUCCUUUGGUUCUUCAAUUAAAUCCGUAUUCAUGCUACGUGCCUUAUCAAUCUCAUUCUCCUUAAUAUACCACCCUCCUAAUAUUCGGUGAAGAAUACGAACAAAUUAUGAAGAUCUAUAUGAAGUAGCGUAUCUAAACUGUGGCAAAAACGUAACUAUUUAUUGAACAGAAUGUUUUGCUAUGUGACCUCACCAUUCUGUUGUAUUAGCCAGAAACUUCAACUCCUUCAUAGCCUAUAAAAAAUAAUUAGUUUCACUGGUGAAGGAAUUAAAGCAAAAUGGAAAUAGAUAAGAAUAUAGUUGCACUUUUGACUUACAUCAUACACAUUUCGGAGUCUAGAACUUACGAGGUGCUCUAGUAGCUUGGACGCAUGCGUUGUAUCCUGUGUAGUGUGUGUAACCAAGAAAGUAAAUAGUUGUGUUUAAGCAUAAUCGUUGAAUUGGGUGACUUAUUAAUGGCUACGGAGUGAAUUAAACUGUUUUGUUUAAUUACUUACAUAUGUUUACAGCAACAGCUUCUCUUCACAGUUGUAAUCUAUAAAGCAGAUGCAUUUCAGUGCUGUGUAGUCGUGUGAUAAUCCCGUGCUGGACUUAAUGUACUCCACUACUUCGUUUUUACGUAAGUGAAGGUAAACUUUUUGGUGUUAGUUUCAGUAUUGAAAAGAAGAUGAUUUUUGUGUUUCACUUCGUAGUUACAUUGUUUUAAACACCAGCCUUAUGGAACUGAAUUCUAUUUUAAAACUUUUCAUAACGUUAUCAAUGAAUGGUGUGUGAUAUAGCGGACGUUACUCAAAACAUUUAUGCGUCAUUGUUGAAAGCAACGUUGGAUGACCUGAUAAAAUCGCUUAGUGCCAGAAUCCGUGGUCGGAGGCAGUAGGAUUCUCAGAAACUUCAGGAGUUUCUGUCCCAAAAGAAGACGUUGGAAUCAUAUGACUCGAAAUACCUCUAUGGCGACGCGUUCGAAAAUAGGCCAGAAGGACAUGGAUCAUAUCUGGGGUAUCAGAAACGUGGCGUUCCAUAUUGGUUGUCAGACCCCAUUGGGAGGGUCACUAGAGACGGGAUGAUAUUACAGAAGUCGAUUGUGGUUAUUUGAAUCACAUUCAGCCGACAGGAUAAGGAUCAGUGGAAAUGAAGACGCUCCUGGAAAAAUCUACUUGUUUCGUCCGUCUUUUAAGCGAAUGUCUACAGUCGUUGUGCUAGAAUCAGGCCUAUCGGAAAGUUCAAUGUCUUUCAAUACCAAGAUCACAGUGUUUCUUGCAGAACUGGAAACGGAAGUAAGGAGAAUUUAGAAGAGAAAAGCAGACAUCGCUGGUUUUCGUUUUUAGUUUUAAUGAUUUCAAUCGAUGCUUUCCGAAUUUGAACAUUGAUUCAACAGGCAUUUCAGGAGAAAAUAUUGUAACGAAAUGCAACAUAAUCGCAAGGAUUUUAAGUGUCUUUACGCAGUUGUCUUUCUGUAAUUUUACCAUAUUUCAAACUACUGACUCACUACAGAUCACAACCAUCCAUGAGACAUAGUACACUUGUUGCAGCGUGUGGGAACGAUUAAUAUAUAUUAAUUAAUAGUAUUAUGUUUGCUUAAGGAGACAGCGUAUUAUGUUUUACGGGACCAAUAUACAGAACCUAUAUAUUUGUGUGUGCUUGUGUUAUAAAGAAAGCAAUACGCUGUUUCGAUAUUCGUAUUUUCCGUGUUUAAAAUAUCCUUAUCAUAUAUUUUUAUUUUAAUGAGUGUUCUGAAGUAAUAAGAAACAAUAAUUUCGAAAGUACAACUAUAUUUAAUCAAAUAUAGGUCUAUAUUCGUGUUAAGCUGUAAUAAAGUGAGCAGGGUAAAACUGUCAAAUUGUUCGUGUUACAUAUUUCAUCAGUAAUAUCUGUAAAUCGCGUUGUUAAUAGAUGAAACUGUGACUAACAUUUAUUAUAUCAAGACGACUUACUAAAACAUCUUUAUCAUAGUUGUGCUCAGAAGUCGCCUUAUCGUGAACGGACAAGUAUUGUGAAAUAUUUUAAAAUUAAAAAGUGUUGGUUUUGAAACAUGUUGCGAGAAACACGGACGAAGGAUCUAUUAUGUAUAAUUAUCUAUGAUUGAAAUUUAAAAAGUCAGUUUCCUGUACGUUAAAAACGCGGCAAAGUGAACUAUCGAUUUCUUGUGAACUUUACUGACAUUAACGAACAGAAACGAGUUUUCGCUGUUUUUUUUCAACUGUUCCGUAACCAAAACGCAGUGCACACACGGGUUAUUGUGUGAGCAGUGGUCGGGAACAAGGCUCUGAAAAUAGUUAGGCGGGGUUUGCGCCGAUUGUGAAACCACCUCGCCUUGCCCGAUGCCCGCCACGGCCAUGUUUUCAAAGUUCAAACACGGAGCGACGGGACAGAAUGCCCUGGACAACAAUCCCAUCGUUCAGUUCUUUGAGAUCGGAAAGCAGACAGCCAGCGCUGGACCAGAACUGGUAUGGCGCAUCCAUGACGCCUACAGGAAAAGCGACGGAAAGGAGGUGUCUGUGUUCCUCUUCGAGAAAAGGUGCGCGGAGAAACUGCACAAACCGAAACGGAAGGAGACAGUGACAGAGAUCUUAAGGAGCAGCAUCCGCCAGCUGGAGAGGUUCCGCCAUCCCAAGAUCCUUCAGGUGUUGCACCCCGUCGAAGAAUGCAGCGAGACCCUAGCAUUCGCCUCGGAGCCCGUGUUGGCCAGCCUUGCAAAUGUGCUGGCGUACCAGGAGUCUGGGGGCGGGGGAGGAGCCGGUCCUCCUUCGACGGGGGCCUCUUCACAGACCCAGCCGUCCACAUCUCCACGACCUCCACACGCACGCGAGUAUCACUUCCUGGACGUUGAACUGAAGUACGGCAUCCUGCAGAUCACGGAGGCGUUGUCAUUUCUCCAUUAUUCGGGCCAUGUCCUUCACAGGAAUGUGUGUCCUAGCAGCAUUCUAGUUACGAAGAAGGGAACCUGGAAACUUGGGGGCCUCGAAUUUAUGGAAAGAGUGAACGAAAUUGACGGUCUGGAAUCCGUAGCUUGCCAACCUUGGACGUCAAGACUACCGAAAAUGGCACAGCCGGACCUCGAUUAUAUAGCUCCUGAAGUGCAGACCACGUCCGUGUGUAGUAUCGUGAGCGAUAUGUUCUCUCUUGGGAUGGUAGUGUGUACCAUCUUUAACCAAGGCCGACCUCUUAUCCAGGCGAAUCACAGUAGCUCCACCUAUAUGAAGCAGCUGGAAGUGCUGGAAGAUCAGUUGCACAACGUUCUGCCGAGAAUACCCGUCCCUCUGCAAGAAGCAGCGGUAAGACUUCUCAGCCGGGAUGCGAGGCAGAGACCCACGGCACAGCUUCUGUCCCUGAUCAAGUACUUCAGUGACCCGGUGGUCCACGCUCUUCAAUUCUUGGACGUCAUUAACAUGAAGGACCCAACGCAGAAAUCUCACUUCUACCGUAACACGCUGAAGGAAGUGCUUCAUUACAUCCCCAGGAAACUGUGGUUUCAGCAUAUUUGGCCUUGCCUGCAGCAGGAGAUGAAGACCCAGGAAGUGCUGGCAGCCGUCUUGCAGCCGAUCAUAUUCCUCGUGCAGGAGUGCACGAUUGAGGAGUACGAAUCUGCCAUCUUGCCCUCGUUCCGGAAUGUGUUCUCCAUCCCAAAAUCGAUCCAGGCGACGGUUACGUUGUUGGAGAAUCUCCAUGUGAUUUUGGAGAAGACACCUCGUGACGACAUCAGGUCGGAGGUCCUGCCCAUGUUGUACAACGCUUUUGAAAGCACUACGAUACAGGUCCAGAGCGCAGCAUUGGUUGCGGUAACGAACGUGUCCGAGUACCUGGACGAGACGGCUAUCCGACGCAUGGUGCUCCCAAAGAUGAAGACUGUGUAUGAGAAGAACGUGGCCGACCUGAAAAUCGUACUGAACGUCCUCUCGUGCGUGGAGAAGACCCUGGAUCGCCUUGACAAGGCGCAGAUCAUUGACGAGGUUCUCCCGCUGCUCUGGGACGUGAGGCUGCAGGACCCAGAGAUCACGCUCAGGGUUGUAAAUAUCUACAGGCUGAUGCUGAGUGAUAAGAAGUACGGCUUGUCCGUGAACCUGAUGGCAACUAGAGUAAUGCCGUCACUGUUACCACAGACAGUGAAUCCUUCCCUUAACCUAGAACAGUUCACAAACCUCAUAGAGGUGCUACAAGAAAUGCUGGACCACAUAGACAGGAACCAGAGGAACAAGCUGAAACUCGAUAAUCUGUCCCUGCCGAGCCCCGAGCGCCACCGUCCGCUGAGGCACCAGUACAGCUCCGACAACAUGCACGUUCCGCCGUUCAACAUCCCUAACCUGCGCAUCGAACAGCGCAAAACUUCCAGCGCAGAGGACAUGGCCCGCAAGAACUCGGGAGAUUCUGGCGUCUUAGGAGGUUGGUGGUUCGGAGCUUCGCCAUCGUCUCCUGACAGCAACUUCUUGAGGGUUCACAAUGCUUUCCCAAACCGACGGCUGUCUGACAACGCCCUCAUGAUGCCUCCCAAGAUUCGCGUAGCACCAUCGUGCGCCUCCUCCCCGGGUGGUACUCCAGGUGGCGGAGGCCUUCCAAUCAGACGUCACUCCAGCAUCGGACCCCAAGAGCGACGAGGGUCGACCGUCAACCUCUCACCCCCAACGGGCGGACUGCACUACAGCUCAGUAUCGAGGGAGGGCUCGAGCUUGUCCGUGCCAUCGACGUAUCUUGCACGGAGCAUGAUCGGUGGCAGUAUGCCAAAUACAAGCAGCAGUGUGCCCUUCCUGCUCAGUUCCAGCAUGAGCAGCAUUCGCUCUCGCCGGCCUUCCGCCUGCUUGUCGAGCUCGCAGGGGUCAGGCCUCCUGCAACAGCUCGGCUCCGGCAUGGUAAGACAACUCACACUGGGAUCCUCCUAUCAGCACCCGGCCAACGGAAGGGCAUUCCCUAGUAGCAAUUAUCAGCUAUUUUCGGGAAGGUCCUAGACACACCAGUGAUAAUCUUGGAUUUGUGAGUCAUAUUUUCAUAGCGUGAGCUUUAGAGUGAUGUGAUAUGGAACUCCUUCAUGAGGAACCUGACCAAAUGCUAGAAAAAUGGAUAAAAACCCAAGUCACAACUAAUUGAUGGAAACCAGCCAUGAUAUUCAUCUACAGCAGGCAUGUCAAUCUAGCUGAGUGAGUCAGGUAUGUUUUUAAUGCCCACAAUAAACUAAAAGAUACUAAUCAUGUUGAACACAGAAGUAAUAACAAUGUAGCAAAUAAACGAUAAGAUGAACAUGGACAAAACAUUUAGUGUAAAAGUACUCCACAUUUUCUGGAUUGCUACUAACACUUCACAAAGCUUGGAAGCUCUUAGAGCCAGAAGCAUGUGUGUGUGUGUGUGUGUGUGUGUGCGCGCGUGAGUGCGUGUGCUUCCCCCCCCCCUCCCCCCAAUAUUCCUAGUUAUGUAACUGGCAAGAACAGCUUUCAGGAGCCCUGUUAAUGUUUAGGCGUGAAUAACAUUUAAGUACCAAAGAAAGAAAUAAUUUUUAGGUACUAUACUUUAGAGCCUUCAGAUACAAUGUGAUGAGUGGAAAUUCGUUUUAAGUGUUUGUUUAUAAAGCCAUAUUGACUUGACAGAUUUGUAAAUUACAUUCGCAGCUAGCGGUAGCUUUUUGCCAUAUUUUCCUGAAAGCGUACUUCUGCGACAGAAAAGUAAAGGUUGAGUCGGCCCUGGUGCUUAACCAACCAUCAUACCAUAUGGAUGUAUGGGGGAGUGGAGGUACAGCUGCAUGCAUUCUUGACCUCAAUACUAGGAGGAGGUGAAUGAUCAGCUUCAUGCCCUGGACACUUUACCUCCAAGGAAAGAACCCCAAACCAGGUACCCAUUAGAUAGGAGGGUACAUGGGCACCAGCUCUGGUCUGGGCAUUGUGAUGAAGAGAAAAAUCUUGCCCUGUUAGGAAUUGAAUCCUGGUCAUCCAGCCUAUACCCUAGUUGCUAUACUGCCCCAGCUUGCGUUUACAACAAAAUCUAAAUUGAAAUUGUUAAAUUCUAGUACUAAAUUUUAAUAUAAUCAGAUACAAGUAUAAGGGGUUUCAUAAUGAAUUAAAUUGAUAUUAUUAAGAAGAUUUUAAGCAAUCUUCAAAAUUCUCAUCUUUCCCUCAUGUGCUAUUUGCCACACCCAUCUCAUCUGCCUUGAUUUUAUUAUCCUAAUAAUGUACAUAUAUUGAUUUCCUAAUUUAUGAACACAGGAAUAUAAAAAUUAAGCUUUCUGUCUAGCCAGUUACAUCUGUAUAUUAUUAUAAGUGCUGUUUCAAAAAAGACUUCAGGUCGGGUGAUUUAAUUUUCUUUACAUGUGGCUCACUCGUCACAUGUUUGACAUGCCUGUUUAACGACGACACUUCACAAAACCGAAGAUGUAGCUCAUGUCAUCUUAACAAGUCAAGUUCCCAGGGAGUAAAUCAGUCAAUAAAAAUUUGGAGAUAUUCACUUUGGUUAAGAGAAACUUGAACAAAGCACUUGAGUUGUUUUGUGCAACAUCCACAGGAAUUACUGCAAUUCAAGGUCAUUCUAGUAUUUAAUAAUAAAAAAAAAAGUGGCACAAGUCCCUUUCCCUUGUGCCUUUUCAUCUGUUUUUUUCCUUUAGUAUGUCAAGAAUCAACAGUUCUUCUUGGUUCCAGCAUACAGUACUGACCCAGUAGUUUGUGUUAGUAAUUGUAAGUGAAUGCAUGAUUUUAUUUAUUUAUGAUAUUCAGUACUAAUCAAUAACUUGUAUGUAUGUGAAGUAUUUGAUUGAUUAGAAAUCAUAGCAUUUAAUGCAGUUCAAAAUUGAAGAUUGUACAGUAAGGAUAACAAACAACAGACUCUGUACCGUAAGAUUCAUAAACCACAUAAAGAAUAAUGUCUGUGCUCUCAUACUUACAGUCUCUGUAUGUUCAAACCUUGUUUUAUUGCGUGCUUGUGCUCGACUGUGAUGCAGCAGGCUGCACUGUCACUUGUUAUAAAGGGAUCCCAGAUAACCUUACUUCUGUCACAGAAGAUCCAGUUGUUUAGCCUUUUAAUAUUAGGUGCUACUGCUCAGCUGAUUUGGUGUUGGCUUCUGAUUUAAGAUUUGAGGUAAUGAAUGUGGGAAUUGUGGUGGAUGAAUGUGACAAUAGAACAAGUUGCAAAAGUACAAACAGAUUGUAGAGAAAAGUUGAACAAAUUUUAUGCCCAGUACACUCUUUAUGCGUCUUAUGGUUUUCAGGAUAGUUAAAACAAAGUGACUUUCAUGUUGUAACAUCUCAUUCAUGAAGUGAAAAUUUAGAGCCAGUAACAGAGUAAAUGCACAAGAAUUGUUAUACUUCAUAUACAUUUAUUAACUUUUCAGAUUUCCCCAUCUUCUAAUUUUAUGAUGCAUUUUUUGAGGACAUACAGAAUGGAAUAGACAAACAGUGGCUUUUAUAUGCAUGUAACCACUUCUUUUUAAAGGAGUCAAGAUACUGCUUUAGCAGAGUUACAUGGUAUGACUCUUUUGUUAAGUAAUUGUAGUAUGACAUGAAAACCUACUGUCCUGAAGCAUGAUACAGAAUAAAUGUCCAUGAAUAAUACUAUUUUGUGCUACUGUUUUGUUGUUUUCUGCAUUCCAUAAAUAAAUUUAAUGGUGAAACUAUUUUGUCUGUCUCUCUGUAAGCUUCAUCUUGCAAAAAACUCGAUGGAUUUCGAUAACAUUUGGUAAGAGUUGUGAAAAAUUUAUUUUGAUCUGCAUUGUUCCACCAUAACACUUAGAUUACAUGUAGAUCAAAUCAGUCAUGAAAUUUCUCAAAAAAUGUGAAAAAAAGGAAAGAUAAGUUUGAUUUUUGACAUGUGUAAGCAUACUCUGUUGCUCUUAUUUGAAAGACUUCAUAACACUGUAUUUAAUGAAUACAGGAACAAAGAUUUUGCUCUAAUAUUGCAACACUUGAUUCCCUUUUCAGUAAUAGAUGUAUGCUGCAUGUAAUGUACUAUAUUUAUAUUUUAUUUGUAUCUUACAUUAACAUCAAGACUGUAUGUACAGAGGUAUGAAGUCACAGACAGCAUGUUUUCAAACUCUCUGUACUACAAAAUGGAGUGUAUCUUUCCACUCCUCUUCUCUUCAAGUUCUUUCCUUUCUGCUUUUAAACAUGUUAAUAACACUGGGAUCCCUGUCAUUCUUGCCCAACACUUCAAUUGGAAUUUAUUUUCGUCUAUAAAUAUGAAUACAUCUAUAACAUAGAAACCCAGUUUCAUUAUUCUUCCCUUAGUCUUCCUUCAUCAUUGGAAAUAGAAAUCUUCUAUUUAAGUCCUUGCAUAGCAUAUAUAAAUGUGCUUUUGAAAGAUUUAUCAAAUUUCAAAUCAAUAAAAGAUUCUUUUCAUACAUGGGCUAUAAGUUGGACUAAUGGAACAAUCGAAUCCAGAAUUUUAUUAAUCCAGCAUGAAGACAAUUUUUCAACAGUGCUGAAUAUAUCUGAUAAUCAGAUCUCCUUUAAUUCUAAACCCCAUAAUACAUGCAUAUAAUACUUCUUCUAUGGAAGUAAUGUGUUUGUAAUCUGUGUUAAUUAAGAUUUUUCAUUGUUAGCUAUAAGUAAGCUGUUCUUCUGCCUUGUAUAAUAUUCCUUGACAAUCCAACAUAAAAAUGUCAGAUAUUUUUUCAAUAACUAGUGGUGUAAUAGAAUGUAUGUGUUAUGUGAUGUUUUCCAUAUCAUUUGCCUUCACCCAAACAGUUUCUCCCUUUCAUAUCAUAUUCAUAAGAUGUGGAAGGUUUCAGUCAUGCUGUAGUAUUUUUUCUUGGGACUUCAGACAUCAAGAACAAACCAAAUACCAAAUAUGUUGUAUAUUUUGUCUGUCGGAAAUUGUUGAGUUUAUGAAGUGGCACACCAGUAAUUGUCACAGAAUAAAAUGUUUUAAAAUCUAUGUCACCAAUGCCUGAAAUUAACAUAAAUACAGUCCUUUCUGAAAAUGUUUUACUCAAAAUUCUUGUCUGAAGAAAAAAAGAACUUUUUGUGAUGUCUGCAGUGUAUUUGGUGCAUUUGACUGUGUGUGCACGUGCAUAUGUAUGUGUACUUACAGAAGCAGAAGAAAACAUAUCAAGUGUUAAUACAUUUCCUUUGCAGCUACUAGUCACAAUAUAAAAUACUAAUAAUUUACUACAUAGAGUCAGUAAAGUCUGCUCUGAACCAAGUGCAUAAAUCUCUCAAUCCUUAAACUGCAGAUAAUCUGGGGUCUGAAGUAAUAAGAAAAAAUACGGCACAUUAAUAUUCUUCCUCGCUUCUUUAAGAAAAAGCUGUGAUUUCUUGGAACUUUUUCUACUUAAUAACCCUCCAAUGGUUGCACCACUUGCUCAACAUAGUUGGUAGCAUUUUGUCUUCUUUAUUUGUAUGCCAUGAGACUCGUUUCCUUUGGAGUAUGGAAUGGUAUGUGAGAAAUAACAUUAUGAAUGUUUUGCCACAAGACAAUCUCUAACUGUAGUGUUGCACAAAAAAUGACAAUAUCGUCAAACCACAUUGCAACAGAGGUAAAUGGCUAUACUUUGAAUAAUCACUGGAUGGUCUUCAGUAAACUAAUUUCACAUUCCCCGCUCCCUGAUGCUAUAACUUCAUGUUCCUAUAAGGAAAUCAAACUUAUAUGACAUCAGUAACAGUAAUAGAUAUCAACAAAACUUAGUGCAAGUGAUGAAGUUACAAAACCUGACUUGAGUUGGUACACUAUAUAAGAACAUAAAAUUUUCCUAAGAUAUUUUGUCUACCAUGCAAUUUUAUGGUAUAAAUAAGAAAAUUGAACUUGGGUAGAAUGUUAAACAAAUACUCUAAUUAAUUUCAAAUAUAAAGUACUUGUAAAGGAAAUACUAUAAGGAACAGUUUUUGUAAACAGGUAACAUGGUGAUGAAGUAAAUGAAAUUAUACUGCAUUAUAAAUUAUUUACACACAAAUGGAUAAUAAAUAGUUGAAAUCUCUGACAGUGUAGAUGAUUAAAGUUUUCUCAGGAUGUAUCCCAUCACCAUGGAUUUAAAUUCAACUGUGAUUGAGCCACAGAGCUAGACAGAAAUUAGUUGAACCAAGGAAAAUCUGCAUCAUUCUUCAUAACUGUCAGUCCCUUAAAGAGUCAGUUUAAGAACUGAGCUUAACAACUAACAAAAAGAAAUAUUCAUAAACUUUGGUAGUGGCAUUCCUUUAUUUCGGAAAGAGUAGUUAUACCAGUCAUACUUGCUAAAGAUUAAAGAAAUGAACUAUGCACUGAAAAUAGUCUCUUUGACUUACCAGAGCAAUCAAUUUACAUGUGUACAUGUGAUAAAAUUCAGUUUUGAAUGUUACCUUACAAACUUUCUCGUGGCCUGUGUUCUAAUCUUGAAGAAGACCAUACAAAGCAGUUUGUUCCUCAGUCACUAGCACUAUCUUUUGUCUAACUCACUGCUAUUGUUUGCACAUGUCUUUGUAUAACAUUAUCAAAUCAAAAUGUACCUUUAUAGUAAUAUUGUUCAGGUAUUUUCAAUCUUUAAAAGCCCAGUUAUCAUGGAAAUAAAUUAUGCAGUAUUUUUGGAUAAUUAUCGGUGUUCUGCCAACAUGUGAUGGAGAUUCAGAAAGUAAGGUAAAUAUUGGAAUAUUUUUGUUGUACUAUUGGCAACACUGCUGGGGCAGUCAUACUGUAGCUUGAGGUCAGUGACAUGCUGCAAGUGUACUCCAUUUUGUGCCAAGUAAGUGUGGCAUAAAGAUGGUUGCUACAUUAGAAACUUGCACCAAGGAUGAGCAACAUUAAUGCCCAGUCUUGCAGCAGUUUCCACAAUAGUUACCAUACAGUUUCCAAGAAUCAUGCUCCAUGUUUUGUUUAUUUGUUAACGUGGAUAGGUAUUCUUACUUGUCUGCAAUAAAAACACUGGUCCAGCUGUUAUUAAACAUUUUGAUCCACUCAUAUACAGUUCAUUGUGGCAAACAAUUCUGUCCCUACUUGACAGCCAAUUGUCAAUGGAUCUCUGAACCAUUCAUUCCUUCAAAUGCUAAGAAACACACUGUUGCAUGUUGCUUGUUCUUGGUGCAAACCUCUUGUCGAGCAGUCAUCUUUAUACCAUACACAUUCAGCACAGACUACAAUACAACUGAACCACAGUCAGCUUACCUGUCACUGUGACCUUGAGCUACAGCAUUAUCAGGCGUCAGCAGUGGUGCAAAUCACACAGAAAAUAUUCCAAUAUUGCCUUUACUUUUUGAACAUGCUCCAUAUAUAUUUUGUGUUGUAUAACUGGCGCAGAUUACCUAUUCAUAUCAAUUUAGUUUUAGAAUUGUAUUUGUUUACUGUCUCUUUCACAAAUUUGUCCAUGGUAUAGUGCCAGAGAUUCACUGAUAACAGAAAUUAUAUUUUAUUCCUAAAAUGGACUCCCAUGGUAAGGGAGAUACAUUAUUCAUGCUGGUCGUGCCUCUGCCCUGUGUCAUUUCCACUCUCAACUGAUCAAGUAACCUUAUUGUGGAGGGGGCAAUUACUUCACUACAAAUAAUAAAAAAGGGAAUUAUGGUAACUGUAUCAAACAUUUUCUUACUGGUAUAUGAAUUACCAUUUGUCAAGGAUUACUAAAAAUUCUUCAUGUUGUAUAUGUAUAUAGUAAGUUUAAAAAUUAACUUUAUAUAUCUGAUCCUCAGAUCCAUGUCAUGUAUGUAUAAAUGUAUUUAUGUACAAAAUAUUGUACAUAUGUUAGAUUAUAAUUAGUAUGUAUGUCAUUACAUUCGUAUGUGUGUGACUGGAGAACAAAAAGGUUGAGGAUAAGAAAUCUUUAACGUAUAAUAAAUAAUGUGUCAUUUCAUUUA